UUUCCGGUUGAUCCCGCCAGAGGUUACUGCUAUCGAGAUUCGAUUAAGCCAUGCGAGUUGAAUGUUCUUCGUGAACAUGGCGGACCGCUCAGUAACACGUGGACAACCUACCCUUGGAUCUGGGAUAAACCCGGGAAACUGGGCAUAAUACCGGAUAAGCCACAUAUGCUGGAAUGCUUUGUGGCUCAAAGCUCCGGCGUCCAAGGAUGGGUCUGCGGCCUAUCAGGGUAGUAGUGGGUGUAAUGUACCUACUAGCCUACGACGGGUACGGGUUGUGAGAGCAAGAGCCCGGAGAUGGAUUCUGAGACACGGAUCCAGGCCCUACGGGGUGCAGCAGGCGCGAAAACUUUACAAUGCGGGAAACCGCGAUAAGGGAAUCUCGAGUGCCAGCAUAUAAUGUUGGCUGUCCAGAUGCCUAAAAAGCAUUUGUUAGCAAGGGCCGGGCAAGACCGGUGCCAGCCGCCGCGGUAACACCGGCGGCCCGAGUGGUAACCGUUAUUAUUGGGUCUAAAGGGUCUGUAGCCGGCCGAAUAAGUCUCUUGGGAAACCUGGCAGCUUAACUGUCAGGCAGUCAGGGGAUACUGUUCGGCUUGGGACCGGGAGAGGUGAGAGGUACCUCGGGGGUAGGGGUGAAAUCUUGUGAUCCUCGAGGGACCACCAGUGGCGAAGGCGUCUCACCAGAACGGGUCCGACGGUAAGGGAGGAAAGCUAGGGGCACGAACCGGAUUAGAUACCCGGGUAGUCCUAGCCGUAAACGAUGCUUGCUAGGUGUCAGCCACGGUGCGACCGUGGUUGGUGCCGUAGGGAAGCCGUGAAGCGAGCCACCUGGGAAGUACGGCCGCAAGGCUGAAACUUAAAGGAAUUGGCGGGGGAGCACUACAACGGGUGGAGCUGCGGUUUAAUUGGAUUCAACGCCGGGA
rnacentral:rRNA from 1 species